rnacentral:ncRNA from 1 species
CUUCACAGGUUAACCCGUGGCCUGAGUGAGGAAGGCAAUGUCCUUGCUAGUCACUAUUUGUGGCGACAUCUCCAAAUUGCGUGAAACCCGUCAUACAGCUUCAAGUACCACUUCAAUUGAGAAAUCUUUUGAAGGAACAGAGGUAACUCCUCUUCCCAAAGGUAAAAGCUUGAAGACAGGUGGCAAUGCGCAGCCAAGCUCCUAAGUAUUUUAAAUAUAAGGAGAAGGUUCAGAGAGCAGACGGAGAUGGGCGGUAAUUAUCGCCGCUUAAGGUGUGCUCCAGCCUCUUUCGAAAGAUUGAG